UGGGAAAAGCCAAAGAAAACUAGCUUUAGUUAAGUCCCAGGAAAACGUGUGGCUUCAGCAAUGUGUUUCUAGCUCUAUUGAACUACGUACAGCUUCUGUCUGGCAAAACCCAUGCCUUUGGGGUGAUGGUGGGAAAGUGCAGAUCAGAUUUGACUCCCUGAAACUCAGGCCAUCAACAUCAACCAUGAGUUGUACCCGUGCCAAGAGAUUAUAUUUGGAUGUCUGAAUAUUACUAUAUUGGUGUCAUAUAUAGUAUUUAGUGGGCACAUAUUAAGCUGAAAACGUUGAAAUUCUUCAUUAUUGUCUUUGAUCAGAUUUUUCAUUGAUUUUUUCCCAUAGCCUUGUUCAGCUACAAGUGGCACAUAUGUAUACCAAUAUAUGCCAGGUGUUGUUUAUCUAGACAUUAGACCAUUAAAUGCAAUAUAUGCCAGGUGUUCCCAUA